CCUCACAGAAACCUGUAAGUAGGUUUCAAGGUAGAGAUUGUUGAAGGACCUAAACUGAGGUUUAGGGUAAGACUCUGCCAGAGGAAGACAAAUCUUGAGUGAAAGUCUCCUUGCAGUUAGUUUGUGAAGUGUGGGAAACUGUGGUGGGAGGAACUAAUGGUAAUUUGACAUAAUUUUUUAGGAAGGUGACAAAAUGGAGAUAUGUCAUGGAACCAAACUCUUCAAUACCAAACGCAGCUUUUUCCCUCCAAACACCUGACCACAAGGUGCACAUGGUCCCUGCACAAGCAGGAGACCUGCCCUGCAUUUCCACCCUCAGCUGUUGGAACGUCAGUAUCUCAUUCAGAGAAAAUCCCGAUGCACUUGUGGUUUUAUUAAACAACGUUCUUGGUACUC